AAGUCGUAACAAGGUCUCCGUUGGUGAACCAGCGGAGGGAUCAUUACAGAGUUGCAAAACUCCCACAAACCAUCGCGAAUCUUACCCGUACGGUUGCCUCGGCGCUGGCGGUCCGGAAGGCCCUCGGGCCCCCCCGGAUCCUCGGGUCUCCCGCUCGCGGGAGGCUGCCCGCCGGAGUGCCGAAACCAAACUCUUGAUAUUUUAUGUCUCUCUGAGUAAACUUUUAAAUAAGUCAAAACUUUCAACAACGGAUCUCUUGGUUCUGGCAUCGAUGAAGAACGCAGCGAAAUGCGAUAAGUAAUGUGAAUUGCAGAAUUCAGUGAAUCAUCGAAUCUUUGAACGCACAUUGCGCCCGCCAGUACUCUGGCGGGCAUGCCUGUUCGAGCGUCAUUUCAACCCUCAAGCCCUGCUUGGUGUUGGGGCCCUACGGCUGCCGUAGGCCCUGAAAGCUAGUGGCGGGCUCGCUAUAACUCCGAGCGUAGUAGUAAAAUAUCUCGCUAGGGAGGUGUCGCGGGUUCCGGCCGUGAAAAGCCCAUCUUUUACACAAGGUUGACCUCGGAUCANGUAGGAAAUACCCGCUGGAACUUAAA
rnacentral:rRNA from 1 species